rnacentral:rRNA from 1 species
UACGUAGGGGGCUAGCGUUGUCCGGAUUUAUUGGGCGUAAAGAGCGCGUAGGCGGCCGAGUAAGUCCGACGUGAAAUCUGGAGGCUCAACCUCCAGCGGUCGUUGGAAACUACUCGGCUAGAGUCCGGAAGAGGAGAGUGGAAUUCCUGGUGUAGCGGUGAAAUGCGCAGAUAUCAGGAAGAACACCGAUGGCGAAGGCAGCUCUCUGGGACGGUACUGACGCUGAGGCGCGAAAGCCAGGGGAGCAAACGGG